GACGAACGCUGGCGGCGUGCUUAACACAUGCAAGUCGAGCGAUGAAGCUUCUUCGGAAGUGGAUUAGCGGCGGACGAGUGAGUAACACGUGGGUAACCUGCCUCAUAGAGGGGAAUAGCCUUCCGAAAGGAAGAUUAAUACCGCAUAAGAUUGUAAUAUCGCAUGAUAUAGCAAUUAAAGGAGUAAUCCGCUAUGAGAUGGACCCGCGUCGCAUUAGCUAGUUGGUGAGGUAACGGCUCACCAAGGCGACGAUGCGUAGCCGACCUGAGAGGGUGAUCGGCCACAUUGGGACUGAGACACGGCCCAGACUCCUACGGGAGGCAGCAGUGGGGAAUAUUGCACAAUGGGGGAAACCCUGAUGCAGCAACGCCGCGUGAGUGAUGACGGUCUUCGGAUUGUAAAGCUCUGUCUUUAGGGACGAUAAUGACGGUACCUAAGGAGGAAGCCACGGCUAACUACGUGCCAGCCGCCGCCGUAACAC
rnacentral:rRNA from 1 species